rnacentral:rRNA from 1 species
CCUACGGGAGGCAGCAGUGGGGAAUAUUGCACAAUGGGGGAAACCCUGAUGCAGCGACGCCGCGUGAGUGAAGAAGUAAUUCGUUAUGUAAAGCUCUAUCAGCAGGGAAGAAAAUGACGGUACCUGAGUAAGAAGCCCCGGCUAACUACGUGCCAGCAGCCGCGGUAAUACGUAGGGGGCAAGCGUUAGCCGGAUUUACGGGGUGGAAAGGGAGCGUAGACGGCAGUGCAAGUCUGGAGUGAAAGGCGGGGGCUCAACCCCCGGACUGCUCUGGAAACUGUACGGCUGGAGUGCAGGAGAGGUAAGUGGAAUUCCUGGUGUAGCGGUGAAAUGCGUAGAUAUUAGGAGGAACACCAGUGGCGAAGGCGGCUUACUGGACUGUAACUGACGUUGAGGCUCGAAAGCGUGGGGAGCAAACAGGAUUAGAUACCCGUGUAGUC